rnacentral:rRNA from 1 species
UGGGGAAUUUUGGACAAUGGGCGCAAGCCUGAUCCAGCAAUGCCGCGUGCAGGAUGAAGGCCUUCGGGUUGUAAACUGCUUUUGUACGGAACGAAACGGCUCUGGUUAAUACCUGGGGCUAAUGACGGUACCGUAAGAAUAAGCACCGGCUAACUACGUGCCAGCAGCCGCGGUAAUACGUAGGGUGCGAGCGUUAAUCGGAAUUACUGGGCGUAAAGCGUGCGCAGGCGGUUAUAUAAGACAGAUGUGAAAUCCCCGGGCUCAACCUGGGAACUGCAUUUGUGACUGUAUAGCUAGAGUACGGCAGAGGGGGAUGGAAUUCCGCGUGUAGCAGUGAAAUGCGUAGAUAUGCGGAGGAACACCGAUGGCGAAGGCAAUCCCCUGGACCUGUACUGACGCUCAUGCACGAAAGCGUGGGGAGUAAACA